GAGCCCCAGAGUGGGGAGCGCGGCGCGUGGCGAGUCCUGGAGCGGGAACAAGAUUGAGCGCGGGCCAUAGUCCCGGAGCAGGAAGCAGAGUGUGCCUGGAGCGGAGUCCCGGAGCGGGGAGCAGAGGAUGAGGGUGUCUCUGGCUAGGCAGCAUUUAUGGCCCAGAAGGCAGUUAAGAGCCAACCACAUUGCUGUGGGUCUGGAGUCACAUGCAGCCCAGACCAGACUACCCAGGGAGAUUCGGUCUGACCAAGGGUUGUGAUGUGCCUCAAAAUAAGUUAAAUAAUAUGCAAGUCCUUGGAGACCGGGAAAGGAUAGUGUGCUGUCUCAGGAACAGAUAACUAAAUUGAAGGACUUGUUGCAGCAAUAGGAGGACUAUAGGGCAUGAGGUUGAAGUAGGGAAUGCUGUUCCAAUAAAACAAAACUACAGGCUUAAUCCUCUCAAAGCCUCACAGCUACAGAAGGAAGUGGAAGCAAUGCUCCAAGACAACAUCAUCAAGUGGAGUUCGCCAGUUGUCUUGGUUCCGAAGCCCGAUAAGGGUCAAUGCUGUAAACAAAACAAACUCCUACCCAGUUCCAAGGCUGCAAGACUGUGCAGGUAAAAUUGGACAAGCCGCUUCCAUCACAAAGUUGGACUUACUGCAUGGUUACUUGCAAAAUAAGCUUCUGGAUUUGUAACCCCAAAUGAGAUAUAAUCAAUUUAUAGCAAUGCCCUUUGGAAUGAAGAACACAUCAGCCACAUCUCAAAAACUUAUGAACAGUUGUGGCAGGAUUGACUAAUUGUAUAGACAGUAUCAUUAUUUUUAAGGAUUCAUAGAAAGAUCACAUGGUGCAUUUGGCAACACUCAGACUACAGGAGGUAAAACUUGUAAAUUUAAAAUAUUGAAUUCACAAAGGCAGAAGUAACAUUCUUGGGACACAAUGUCAGACAUGGAAGGAUGACCCCAAGGAAUGUGAAGAUGGAGGCCACCGAGGAAUUUCCUAGACCAUCCUCCAGGAAAGAGGUGAUUCACUUUUUGGGACUGAGCAGAUUCUACAGGAUGUUUGUACCAAAGUUUAGAAGUGUGGUGGCACUGCUAAUGGAUUUUCUAAAGCACAUGAAAUUUUCACUGAACAGAACAAUGCUAGGUGGUAUUCGAGAUUUUAAAAGCAGUGCUAACCACCGCACCAGUUGGAGCCACAAAUUUCUUGAAACCUUUUAAAGUCACAAGUGAUGCCAGUGAUGGAGGGGUUGGAGCUGCAAAAUUGAAAGACCAAUUGGUUAUUUUUCAAAGAAACUCAAAAAUCAACCAAAUACUCCACCAUCAAAAGUGUAAUUGAGUUUGGUACUAGCCUUAACAUUUUA